UUGCCAGUCCCAUGAAGUUGAUCUUCAAGAUUGCCAUUUCCAUUUUGAUAUCCCUUGUCCCUUUGUUUGUGAGAGCCUGAUGGCUUUAUAUAGACGAGGUUACUUCUGCAUAUUAGCUGUUUUUUGUGCUUUUGAAACAAGUUGCCUGCUACAAAACGCUUCCGUUUUUAUCUGUUUUUAAACUUGCAGAGAAACAAACGAGGAUUGUGCUGGCUUCCUUUGGCAGCUAGCUAGCUUAUGUGCUUCAGGUAUGGCGUGAAAAUACCAUCCAUGGUAGUAACUCACCCUCCAUUUCCGCCUUUCCACCUGAUCAUCUUAAAAUUAAUAAUUUAUUAGAAAUUAGAGAAUUCAAGCUUUAAUUUAUUAAAUAUUUG
rnacentral:lncRNA from 1 species